CCUACGGGGGGCAGCAGUGAGGAAUAUUGGUCAAUGGCCGCGAGGCUGAACCAGCCAAGUCGCGUGAGGGAUGACGGCCCUACGGGUUGUAAACCUCUUUUGUCGGGGAGCAAAAGACGCCACGCGUCGCGUUCCGAGAGUACCCGGAGAAAAAGCAUCGGCUAACUCCGUGCCAGCAGCCGCGGUAAUACGGAGGAUGCGAGCGUUAUCCGGAUUUAUUGGGUUUAAAGGGUGCGCAGGCGGAAGAGCAAGUCAGCGGUAAAAUUGAGAGGCUCAACCUCUUCCCGCCGUUGAAACUGGGUUUCUUGAGUGGGUGAGAAGUACGCGGAAUGCGUGGUGGAGCGGUGAAAUGCAUAGAUAUCACGCAGAACUCCGAUUGCGAAGGCAGCAUACCGGCGCUCAACUGACGCUCAUGCACGAAAGUGUGGGUAUCGAACAGGAUUAGAUACCCGUGUAGUC
rnacentral:rRNA from 1 species